rnacentral:rRNA from 1 species
AUUGAACGCUGGCGGCAUGCCUUACACAUGCAAGUCGAACGGUAACAGGUCUUCGGAUGCUGACGAGUGGCGAACGGGUGAGUAAUACAUCGGAACGUGCCUAGUAGUGGGGGAUAACUACUCGAAAGAGUGGCUAAUACCGCAUGAGAUCUACGGAUGAAAGCAGGGGAUCGCAAGACCUUGUGCUACUAGAGCGGCCGAUGGCAGAUUAGGUAGUUGGUGGGAUAAAAGCUUACCAAGCCGACGAUCUGUAGCUGGUCUGAGAGGACGAUCAGCCAAACUGAGACUGAGACACGGCCCAGACUCCUACGGGAGGAAGCAGUGGGGAAUUUUGGACAAUGGGCGAAAGCCUGAUCCAGCAAUGCCGCGUGCAGGAUGAAGGCCUUCGGGUUGUAAACUGCUUUUGUACGGAACGAAAAGCCCCGGGUUAAUACCCUGGGGUCAUGACGGUACCGUAAGAAUAAGCACCGGCUAACUACGUGCCAGCCGCCGCGGUAA